rnacentral:rRNA from 1 species
UUGAACGCUGGCGGCAGGCCUAACACAUGCAAGUCGAGCGGAUGAAGGGAGCUUGCUCCUGGAUUCAGCGGCGGACGGGUGAGUAAUGCCUAGGAAUCUGCCUGGUAGUGGGGGAUAACGUCCGGAAACGGGCGCUAAUACCGCAUACGUCCUGAGGGAGAAAGUGGGGGAUCUUCGGACCUCACGCUAUCAGAUGAGCCUAGGUCGGAUUAGCUAGUUGGUGGGGUAAAGGCCUACCAAGGCGACGAUCCGUAACUGGUCUGAGAGGAUGAUCAGUCACACUGGAACUGAGACACGGUCCAGACUCCUACGGGAGGCAGCAGUGGGGAAUAUUGGACAAUGGGCGAAAGCCUGAUCCAGCCAUUCCGCGUGUGUGAAGAAGGUCUUCGGAUUGUAAAGCACUUUAAGUUGGGAGGAAGGGCAGUAAGUUAAUACCUUGCUGUUUUGACGUUACCAACAGAAUAAGCACCGGCUAACUUCGU